AUCUUUGCGCUUGGGGCAAUGACGCAGUUACUGAGAUGAAACCGAGACGCGUCAAUUGCUGGUUGAGAACUAUUUCUAGAG
rfam:Marchantia polymorpha subsp. polymorpha scaffold2891, whole genome shotgun sequence.